UACAGAGGGUGCAAGCGUUAAUCGGAUUUACUGGGCGUAAAGAGCGCGCAGGCGGUCGUUCAAGUCGCGUGUGAAAGCCCCCGGCUCAACUGGGGAGGGUCACGCGAUACUGAUCGACUCGAAGGCAGGAGAGGGAAGUGGAAUUCCCGGUGUAGUGGUGAAAUGCGUAGAUAUCGGGAGGAACACCAGUGGCGAAGGCGACUUCCUGGCCUGUUCUUGACGCUGAGGCGCGAAAGCUAGGGGAGCAAACGGG
rnacentral:rRNA from 1 species